rnacentral:rRNA from 1 species
AAUAUUGGUCAAUGGGGGCAACCCUGAUCCAGCCAUGCCGCGUGAGUGAUGAAGGCCNNNGGGUUNUCAAGCUCUUUCAGUGGNGACNAUAAUGAUGUUACCCACCCAAGAAGCCCCGGCUAACUCCGUGCCACCAGCCGCGGUAAUACGAAGGUGGCUAGCGUUGUUCGGAUUUACUGGGCGUAAAGCGCACGUAGGCGGAUUGGUCAGUUAGGGGUGAAAUCCCGGAGCUCAACUCCGGAACUGCCUUUAAUACUGCCAGUCUAGAGUCCGAGAGAGGUGAGUGGAACUCCUAGUGUAGAGGUGGAAUUCGUAGAUAUUAGGAAGAACACCAGUGGCGAAGGCGGCUCACUGGCUCGGUACUGACGCUGAGGUGCGAAAGCGUGGGGAGCAAAC